AACAAGGCGUACCUGCGGACCUGCGGAGGGAUCAUUACCGAGUUUACAACUCCCAAACCCCUGUGAACAUACCAAUUGUUGCCUCGGCGGAUCAGCCCGCUCCCGGUAAAACGGGACGGCCCGCCAGAGGACCCCUAAACUCUGUUUCUAUAUGUAACUUCUGAGUAAAACCAUAAAUAAAUCAAAACUUUCAACAACGGAUCU
rnacentral:misc_RNA from 1 species